rnacentral:rRNA from 1 species
UACGUAGGGAGCAAGCGUUGUCCGGAAUCAUUGGGCGUAAAGCGCGCGUAGGUGGCCUCAUAAGUCCGCUGUGAAAGUCAAAGGCUCAACCUUUGAAAGCCGGUGGAUACUGUGAGGCUAGAGUACGGAAGAGGCGAGUGGAAUUCCGGGUGUAGUGGUGGAAUACGUAGAUAUCCGGAGGAACACCAGCGGCGAAGGCGGCUUUCUGGUCUGAUACUGACGCUGAGGCGCGAAAGCGUGGGGAGCGAUCCGG